rnacentral:rRNA from 1 species
GACGAACGCUGGCGGCGUGCUUAACACAUGCAAGUCGAACGGAAAGGCCCUGCUUUUGUGGCGUGCUCGAGUGGCGAACGGGUGAGUAACACGUGAGUAACCUGCCCUUGACUUUGGGAUAACUUCAGGAAACUGGGGCUAAUACCGGAUAGGAGCUCCUGCUGCAUGGUGGGGGUUGGAAAGUUUCGGCGGUUGGGGAUGGACUCGCGGCUUAUCAGCUUGUUGGUGGGGUAGUGGCUUACCAAGGCUUUGACGGGUAGCCGGCCUGAGAGGGUGACCGGCCACAUUGGGACUGAGGUGCGGCGCAGACUCCUACGGGGGGCAGCAGUGGGGAAUAUUGCACAAUGGGCGGAAGCAGGAUGCAGCAACGCCGCGUGCGGGAUGACGGCCUUCGGGUUGUAAACCGCUUUCGCCUGUGACGAAGCGUGAGUGACGGUAAUGGGUAAAGAAGCACCGGCUAACUACGUG